rnacentral:rRNA from 1 species
GAUCGGCUCAGGAUGAACGCUAGCGGCAGGCUUAACACAUGCAAGUCGAGGGGCAGCAUAAUGGAUAGCAAUAUCUAUGGUGGCGACCGGCGCACGGGUGCGUAACGCGUAUGCAACCUACCUUUAACAGGGGGAUAACACUGAGAAAUUGGUACUAAUACCCCAUAAUAUCAUAGAAGGCAUCUUUUAUGGUUGAAAAUUCCGAUGGUUAGAGAUGGGCAUGCGUUGUAUUAG